GGCGGCAUAGCCAAGUGGUUUAAGGCACAGGACUGCAAAUCCUCGAUCCCCGGUUCGAAUCCGGGUGCCGCCU
rnacentral:tRNA from 1 species